GUAGGUGGCAAGCGUUGUCCGGAAUUAUUGGGCGUAAAGCGCGCGCAGGCGGUUCUUUAAGUCUGAUGUGAAAGCCCCGACGGCUCAACCGUGGAGGGUCAUUGGAAACUGGAGAACUUGAGUACAGAAGAGGAAAGCGGAAUUCCACGUGUAGCGGUGAAAUGCGUAGAGAUGUGGAGGAACACCAGUGGCGAAGGCGGCUUUCUGGUCUGUAACUGACGCUGAGGCGCGAAAGCGUGGGGAGCAAACAGGGAUUAGAUACCCUGGUAGUCCACGCCGUAAACGAUGAGUGCUAAGUGUAGGGGGUUUCCGCCCCCUUAGUGCUGCAGCUAACGCAUUAAGCACUCCGCCUGGGGAGUACGGCCGCAAGGCUG
rnacentral:rRNA from 1 species